rnacentral:miRNA from 14 species
AGACAGACAGACAGACAGACAGAGAGAGAGAGAGACUGUCUGUCUGUCUGUCUCUCUGUCUCUCUGUCUGUCUGUCUCUCUCUCU